ACUUAAAUUGAAGAGUUUGAUCAUGGCUCAGAUUGAACGCUGGCGGCAGGCCUAACACAUGCAAGUCGAGCGGCAGCGGGAAAGUAGCUUGCUACUUUUGCCGGCGAGCGGCGGACGGGUGAGUAAUGCCUGGGGAUCUGCCCAGUCGAGGGGGAUAACUACUGGAAACGGUAGCUAAUACCGCAUACGCCCUACGGGGG
rnacentral:rRNA from 1 species